rnacentral:rRNA from 1 species
AUUGAGCGCUGGCGGCAGGCUUAACACAUGCAAGUCGAGCGGGGAAAGGUAGCUUGCUACCUAACCUAGCGGCGGACGGGUGAGUAAUGCUUAGGAAUCUGCCUAUUAGUGGGGGACAACAUCUCGAAAGGGAUGCUAAUACCGCAUACGUCCUACGGGAGAAAGCAGGGGACCUUCGGGCCUUGCGCUAAUAGAUGAGCCUAAGUCGGAUUAGCUAGUUGGUGGGGUAAAGGCCUACCAAGGCGACGAUCUGUAGCGGGUCUGAGAGGAUGAUCCGCCACACUGGGACUGAGACACGGCCCAGACUCCUACGGGAGGCAGCAGUGGGGAAUAUUGGACAAUGGGGGGAACCCUGAUCCAGCCAUGCCGCGUGUGUGAAGAAGGCCUUUUGGUUGUAAAGCACUUUAAGCGAGGAGGAGGCUACCGAGAUUAAUACUCUUGGAUAGUGGACGUUACUCGCAGAAUAAGCACCGGCUAACUCUGUG